rnacentral:misc_RNA from 1 species
CGUGGAUCAAUUUUAGUCUUCCUACAUCAGUUGUCUAUGAAUGUAUAUCUAAUUUAUAUCUUGCUCACUAUUCUUCAUGGGAGCGAAUGUGUGAUAGCUUCUUCGACAACAGGUUGAGGGAGUGGAUUCAGUAAAAAAGUAGAGGCAUUUUUGUAAGUGCGUCUUUUGCUAGAAUAGAAAGAAUUAAUAGAAAAUUAAUGCAAGGCAUUUAUGUAAAUGCAUUGCAUGUGUGUGCAUGUGCACUUGCAAUAUUGUGCAUUAUAAUUAAGUCACCAGUAAAAAAGUAGAGGCAUUUUUGUAAGUGCGUCUUUUGCUAGAAUAGAAAGAAUUAAUAGAAAAUUAAUGCAAGGCAUUUAUGUAAAUGCAUUGCAUGUGUGUGCAUGUGCACUUGCAAUAUUGUGCAUUAUAAUUAAGUCA